rnacentral:rRNA from 1 species
GAUGAACGCUGGCGGCGUGCCUAAUACAUGCCAGUCGAGCGAACAGAUGAGGAGCUUGCUCCUCUGACGUUAGCGGCGGACGGGUGAGUAACACGUGGAUAACCUACCUAUAAGACUGGGAUAACUUCGGGAAACCGGAGCUAAUACCGGAUAAUAUAUUGAACCGCAUGGUUCAAUAGUGAAAGACGGUUUUGCUGUCACUUAUAGAUGGAUCCGCGCCGCAUUAGCUAGUUGGUAAGGUAACGGCUUACCAAGGCAACGAUGCGUAGCCGACCUGAGAGGGUGAUCGGCCACACUGGAGCUGAGACACGGUCCAGACUCCUACGGGAGGCAGCAGUAGGGAAUCUUCCGCAAUGGGCGAAAGCCUGACGGAGCAACGCCGCGUGAGUGAUGAAGGUCUUCGGAUCGUAAAACUCUGUUAUUAGGGAAGAACAAAUGUGUAAGUAACUAUGCACGUCUUGACGGUACCUAAUCAGAAAGCCACGGCUAACUACGUG